AUUGAACGCUGGCGGCAGGCUUAACACAUGCAAGUCGAACGGUAACAUAAAGAAGCUUGCUUCUUUGAUGACGAGUGGCGGACGGGUGAGUAAUGCUUGGGAAUCUAGCUUAUGGAGGGGGAUAACUACGGGAAACUGUAGCUAAUACCGCGUAGAAUCGGGAGAUGAAAGUGUGGGACCUUCGGGCCACAUGCCAUAGGAUGAGCCCAAGUGGGAUUAGGUAGUUGGUGAGGUAAAGGCUCACCAAGCCGACGAUCUCUAGCUGGUCUGAGAGGAUGACCAGCCACACUGGGACUGAGACACGGCCCAGACUCCUACGGGAGGCAGCAGUGGGGAAUAUUGCGCAAUGGGGGCAACCCUGACGCAGCCAUGCCGCGUGAAUGAAGAAGGCCUUCGGGUUGUAAAGUUCUUUCGGUAGCGAGGAAGGCAUUUAGUUUAAUAAACUGGAUGAUUGACGUUAACUACAGAAGAAGCACCGGCUAACUCCGUGCCAGCAGCCGCGGUAAUACGGAGGGUGCGAGCGUUAAUCGGAAUAACUGGGCGUAAAGGGCACGCAGGCGGUGACUUAAGUGAGGUGUGAAAGCCCCGGGCUUAACCUGGGAAUUGCAUUUCAUACUGGGUCGCUAGAGUACUUUUAGGGAGGGGUAGAAUUCCACGUGUAGCGGUGAAAUGCGUAGAGAUGUGGAGGAAUACCGAAGGCGAAAGCAGCCCCUUGGGAAUGUACUGACGCUCAUGUGCGAAAGCGUGGGAGCAAACAGG
rnacentral:rRNA from 1 species